GAUGAAGAACGCAGCGAAAUGCGAUAAGUAAUGUGAAUUGCAGAUUACAGUGAAUCAUCGAAUCUUUGAACGCACCUUGCGCCUUGUGGUAUUCCACAAGGCAUGCCCGUUUGAGUAUCAUUAAAUCAUCAACUCUAAAACCUUUGUGGUUUUUUUAGAGCUUGGUCUUGAGGGUUUUGCAGGCUUUUUUUUUUUCGAUUCUGCUCCCUUUAAAUGCAUUAGCGAGACUUCCCUAUGCUGAACCGUCUCUUUGACGUGAUAAUUAUCUGCGUCGAAUUUUGGUUCUCGUUGGGCUUGCUUCUAAUCGUCUGUUAAAGACAAAACGGAUUUGGGUGCAUAUAUGCGCCUUUUUCCAAAACCUUUUUUGAUCUCAAAUCGGGUAGGACUACCCGCUGAACUUAAGCAUAUCAAUAAGCGGAGGA
rnacentral:misc_RNA from 1 species